CCCGCUCAGAAACUUAAAGGAAGUUGACGGGGGCCUGCACAAGCGGUGGAGCAUGUGGUUUAAUCGAAGCAACGCGCAGAACCUUACCAGCGUUUGACAUGGUAGGACGACUGGCAGAGAUGCCUUUCUUCCCUUCGGGGACCUACACACAGGUGCUGCAUGGCUGUCGUCAGCUCGUGUCGUGAGAUGUUGGGUUAAGUCCCGCAACGAGCGCAACCCUCGACUUUAGUUACCAUCAUUAAGUUGGGUACUUUAAAGUAACCGCCGGUGAUAAGCCGGAGGAAGGUGGGGAUGACGUCAAGUCCUCAUGGCCCUUACGCGCUGGGCUACACACGUGCUACAAUGGCAAGUACAGUGGGCAGCAAUCCCGCGAGGGUGAGCUAAUCUCCAAAACUUGUCUCAGUUCGGAUUGUUCUCUGCAACUCGAGAGCAUGAAGGCGGAAUCGCUAGUAAUCGCGGAUCAGCAUGCCGCGGUGAAUACGUUCCCAGGCCUU
rnacentral:rRNA from 1 species